ensembl:lncRNA novel transcript
AAAGCUGUAGUUACGGCUGGUGCAACAGGGGUCAGUUACUCAGCGUCCGUGAGCUGGGCUUUGGAUGAAGAGAAGUGGUUGGAAGGAGGGAAGUGGAGCAUCAUGAAUGGCUGGACAAAUGAACACAGCACCUGCCAUGUGCCAGCCCUCAGAUUGCUGCAGAGGGCACCUGAAGCAUGAUUUUGCCUUACCUUAAAAUGUCACCUGUAACAGAUCUACGAGUCCUCUGCCUUAUCCUCUCGGUCCCAGGCCCACAAAGACUCUCCAUAGCCCCUGCUGCGAGGGCUGCCUCGAGGUGCACACUCAUGGCCAAGGACUGACAGUUAUGAGGGCAUAAACCCUGCAGCUUUCCUGCCCCCUGAUCAGACACCUGUGGGCAUAAGCCUCACUGUCCAGAGCUCCCCGUGGGAUUGAGUGGGCAUAACCCUGCCUGGGUCUUUGUUGAUAUUGCAGCUGGUUGGGCUUUCAUCCCUCCUCACUCCCCAACAGUGGGGUUUUCUUGUCAAUGCUCUCUAAGAAACUCCUUUGAGAUGUCGCCUCAGGGUCCACUUCUGAGGAAACCCAGACUAAGACAGUGCUAUUUUGAUUCCUCAUAAAUAUUUUCAAUCCUCCAAUUUUGAUUCAUGAAACUCAGAAAAUGAAUCUUAAGUAAAUGUCUGCUAUUGUCA